rnacentral:rRNA from 1 species
CCUACGGGAGGCAGCAGUGGGGAAUAUUGCACAAUGGGCGAAAGCCUGAUGCAGCAACGCCGCGUGAGUGAAGAAGUAUUUCGGUAUGUAAAGCUCUAUCAGCAGGGAAGAAGCAAGACGGUACCUGACUAAGAAGCCCCGGCUAACUACGUGCCAGCAGCCGCGGUAAUACGUAGGGGGCAAGCGUUAUCCGGAUUUACUGGGUGUAAAGGGAGCGUAGACGGUAUGGCAAGUCUGAAGUGAAAGCCCAGGGCUUAACCCUGGGACUGCUUUGGAAACUGUUAGACUAGAGUGCUGGAGAGGUAAGUGGAAUUCCUAGUGUAGCGGUGAAAUGCGUAGAUAUUAGGAGGAACACCAGUGGCGAAGGCGGCUUACUGGACAGUAACUGACGUUGAGGCUCGAAAGCGUGGGGAGCAAACAGGAUUAGAUACCCGGGUAGUC